rnacentral:rRNA from 1 species
UACGGGGGGAGCAAGCGUUGUUCGGAUUUACUGGGCGUAAAGGGCGCGUAGGCGGCCAGCACAAGUCAGUUGUGAAAUCUCCGAGCUUAACUCGGAACGGUCAACUGAUACUGUGCGGCUAGAGUCCGGAAGGGGCGAGUGGAAUUCCUGGUGUAGCGGUGAAAUGCGCAGAUAUCAGGAGGAACACCAAUGGCGAAGGCAGCUCGCUGGGACGUGACUGACGCUGAGACGCGAAAGCGUGGGGAGCAAACAGG